GGGCUCAGUGUAUGAGGACCUUUAUUUGGAAUACAGAGUCAAAAGACAAGAGGACUAAGAGUUGCUCAUUUAGAAUUUCAGUUAUUAUUAGUCUCUCAUGAGUAUAAUUCUAAUCUCUCCCACCAGAGGGCAGUUAUCACGUGAAAAUAUGAAACCACUCCUAGUGUUAACAUGAGCCAAGAUAGCUGCUUGGAUUGGUCCUAUUUUGGAGGGAGAAACCUUGCACCAAACACUGAGGGACAGUCAAAAGCAUUCUUCUGUUUCCAAGAUUUUAUAAUGUAUUCCAUUUAAAUACCAUCUGGGUUUCAGUAACCUGUAUUGCCCUAGAAAAUUAGAUUUAUAUGCUUUUUCAUGAGGAUUCCAAAGAGUAGCUGAGAAAAAGGAUUAAAGUUUUUGAUAGACAGCAAAUAACUUCAAGUGUGCAGUCUGCUUAUGAUUUGGAGAGACCACCAGAAACACUUCUAUUUAUUGAUCACGUUGCACAAUGCCUUAUAGUGAAAAUGCUUUAUGGCCAGAAUCAGAUCCAAUCUUCCUAACGUCCCUGGCAGGUAUGUUCUGUUAAUUUUGCCCAUUUUAGAGAUGAGGAAAUUGAAACAUACUCAGGUGAAGCAAUGUGCCAAAGAAUACAUGCUUAGUUUAUAUUCUUAAGCACCAUGAAGCAGUGGAUCUGUUGGAGAUGUGUUGGGCCCAAUUACAGAGACUUAGCACCGAGUUCAGGAGCGAGGUCCACUGGUGCUCAGAAAAUCCAUGUCAGGAAAAGGAGGGUGAGGCAGGGUAAAUAGGAAGCUACCUGGUUGCUCUCGCCGGCUGCACUGCAGGCUCCACUACUAAGUCAAAAAGCAUAGCUGCCUGAGUGAUAGUUACAGACCAUCUUUCCAUGGUAGGUGAGGAUCCCAUGUGCUGUUUUAAACCAGAAUUUAGACAGCCUGGUAUGAGUCUAGCUAGCAGGUGAGGGCAUAGGAACUAGGACCCAUGCCUACAGAACGAACAGGGUGGGUUCUCCAUGGGUCCCCUGGACCCAGACACCGGCUGAGAUUCAGAACAGGAUCCAGGCCUUAAGAGGGCCUGUGGAGCUUGGCAGGGAAGAAAGCAAAGGGAGGAGAAAAUCUUGGCCAGUGUUCAGCUUUACGAAUUGGGCCAACUCCAAGAGCCGGCCGAUUCCAACUCUAAUUUGAAGUCUGGUUGGAGACUCAGGAGGACAGGCAGACUCCCGGUUGUUGGCUGUGCUACAGGCUCUGGGAAGCUCUGGAGGCCAGCAGUCCAAAAUCAAGGAGUCAACGGGAUGAGCUCCAUCUGGAGGCUCCACGGGAGAAUCUUGCCUCUUUCAGUUUAGAGUGGCUGCUGGAAUUCCUUGGUUUGUGGCCCCAUCACUCCAGUCUUCAAGACCAGCAUCUUCAAAUCUCUCUUUGCUCUGUCUUCAUACCGCCUUCUCCUCUGUACUGCUGCUAUCACCUGCUUCUGUCUCAUUACUUCUUCC